rnacentral:lncRNA from 1 species
CCGUCCUGUGAUUCUACAUUGCUAAAUGCGGGACCAUAUCUGAUAGUUACGAUGAUCUACUUUAUAAAAAGGGGAUAAGACAACAAGUUUCGGUAAGCCAUUUUUCAUGUUGAGCUUUGUCAUCAUUCUCAUUCAUUCUACUGUUGCUCAAUCUCUUUCUCUGACUUAAGCAUCGGAGGGUUCUCACCGGAGAUAACUCCGAUCAGUAUAAACUUCAUUUUAUAGAUGUUCGUUUCUGACGACAGGCGACGAAGAAG